UAUUUUUUCGCUUUUCAGGCCCUUCAAUAACAUUCAGUCAUAAGAUAAUGUUAUUCUGCUGCUGCAAGCCGGGAAAAUAAAUGAAAGUAUUUUUGUGUGCUUAUGUGAUGCGCUGUUUUAAUGUCUCUGAGGUGAGACCAAAAGCUAAUUUCCGGCCAAGGCUGGACAAUAAAGUUGUAUUCUCUUCUGUUGUAUUCUUCUAUUCCUUUCAGUGGUGCAUUAUUCCUAAAAAGCAAAGAGAAACACAGGAAGCGACGGCGCCCGAUGUAGACGUGAGAUCCGUCAUAAUAUGACAUUUCGUUCACCGGGCGUGUCGAACAGACAUGCUGUGUGCUUCAAUGACUAUUUCAUUAAAGUCCUCAGACGCUUCGUACAUCAUAACGUACGACACUGUACUAGGAUUACGCAGACCAGUGCCCUGCGGAACCCAUCUGCGGUCCUCUUCCCACAGCGUUUUGCUUAUUCCGUCUAUACAGAUAGGUUCAACCGCUGUAGGAGAUGAGGUUCAAGGUUUGGGAUCCACUUUAAAUGUUCUGAUGCUCUGUUUCAACUGGACUCUGACUUAAGUGUAACCUUAGUUCAGCUAAUGUGUUCUGAUGUGUUAUUGGAUCACACACAAAUACACAAGCUCUCACACACACGCAGACACACAAACCAACGUACACAAGCUCUCACAAACACAUACAAAAGCACUUACACAAAUGCGCAUGCACACACACACACACACACACACACACACACACACACACACACACACACACACACACACACC